GGGGGUGUAGCUCAGCUGGCCUAGAGCGACCGCUUGUCACGCGGUAGGUCGCGGGUUCGAAUCCCGUCACUCCCG
rnacentral:tRNA from 1 species